AUCAAUUCCAGAAAACUCGAGAGAGAGAGAGAGAAAACCCGAGUUCUCCGACCCGGAACGCGACCGCGACUGGGUCCGACGGAAAACGCCGUCCGGCCACCUCUCCGCGGCGGACCACCGGCAACAGCAUCGUCUCGGUGGCGCCUACGUCCCUGUGGUCUCAGAUUGCCCAUGCACCGGACGGGGAGGGAGAAACGUCAGUGAGAAGGUCUGAGUCUCUCCGGCGAGUUCUGCAAUUUCCGGCCACCGUCGGAGCUAAAAGUGGUAUGAAAAACUAUCCCCUCGUCAUGCUCUACAACCCAGCAUACUUAGUUUUUCAAUUCGAUCAAGUUUUGACAAAUUGGUUUCUGGGUUGUUUCGGGUUCGACGUCAUGGUUGCCGCCGGUGACUUCUCCGACACUUCUGGGCUUGGUUUUCGUCUAGAUUGCGUCUAUUGAGGUGAAAUUGGGAGGCUUGCUGGGUCGAUUGCAUCAGAAGCAUUAGUUCAUCAUCAGUUGAGUUUCGGCAGUGAGUCGAUUUGGUCGGAAUUGAUUUUCCAAGGACUCCAGUUACCCGAGGAACAGAAGGUUCGUAACUCUCGGAAUACGUGAGAGAACGCAUCGGAAUCCAGUAUGGAUGCAGGUACUGUGCACUGGUGACGGGACAAUAGCGGAUGGAGCUGGGUGUGCAGAACAAGUUCGGUAAAUUACCGUGUGAACCUUAUUCUACAUUCUAUUUCUCGAACUUUGGUUCUGGAGCUUCUUG